AGCAGGCAGACAUCAACCAUCUGCCACCGAAUACAUUAGCAUGGGAUAAUGGAAUAGGACCCUGUCCUCCUAUUUUCAGUUGGUUUUCGAGGACCAGGGUAAUGAUUAAUAGGGAUAGUUGGGGGCAUUAAUAUUUAAUUGUCAGAGGUGAAAUUCUUGGAUUUAUGAAAGAUUAACUUCUGCGAAAGCAUCUGCCAAGGAUGUUUUCAUUAAUCAAGAACGAAAGUUAGGGGAUCGAAGACGAUCAGAUACCGUCGUAGUCUUAACCAUAAACGAUGCCGACCAGCGAUUAGGAGACGUUGAAUACAAAACACCACCAUCGGGCGGGUCGUCCCUGGCCGGUGUCGUCCGUCGCGGCAACGCGGCGGGCGGCCGGUGGGGGCGGUCCGUUUCCCCGAUGGCCCGGUGAA
rnacentral:rRNA from 1 species